GACGAACGCUGGCGGCGUGCUUAACACAUGCAAGUCGAACGGAAAGGCACUGCUUUUGUGGGCUGCCCGAGUGGCGAACGGGUGAGUAACACGUGAGUAACCUGCCCUUGACUUUGGGAUAACUUCAGGAAACUGGGGCUACUACCGGAUAGGAGCCCCCGCUCCAUGGUGGGGGUGGGAAAGUUUCGGCGGGUGGGGAUGGAUGCGCGGCUGACCAGCUUGUUGGUGGGGUAGUGGCUGACCAAGGCUUUGGAGGAUAGCCGGCCUGUGAGGGUGGCCGGCGUCCAUACGACUGCGGUACGGACCAGACUCCUACGGGGGGCAGAAGUGGGAAAUAUUGCACAAUGGGCGGACGCCUGAUGAGGCGACGCCGCGGGCGUGAUGACGGCCUUCGGGUUGUGAACCGCUUUCGCCUGUGGCGAAGCGUGAGUGACGGUAAUGGGUAAAGAAGCACCGGCUAACUACGUG
rnacentral:rRNA from 1 species